UUUUACAUGUAUAAAUAUUUUCAAUAAUUUAUUACAUGCAUUUAUUUACAAUUAAUUGUUAACGACUGCAAUUAUGCUAAUAUUCGUCAAGUCUUAAUUACUUAAAUAAAGUAUAAUAAACCAUAUUUUACAGAUAAAAAUAAAACAGACCGAUAACAUAUUGUGUGAAAACUGAAAAUUGUACAUUCCACCAUUCCGGUCAUUCCAGAUGUUACAAUAUCUUUGAGUUUGUACUUAUGGCCAAAAAUAUCGGCCAUUCCAUAUGCAGUAGUAGAAUAUUAUACAUUGGUUAAUGGUUUAGUUGUAUUACAACAUAAAACGGACACGGUUGUGUCGAAACGUGAGAUUUACUUUAUUCCUUCGAAACGUAUAUCGUGCUGAAAGUAUUUGCGAAGUUGGAGAUUCAAAAUGGGUAU